GUCCUUUUGAAUUUUUAUUUAAGGUCUAGUCUGCCCACUGAAAAAUAUUUUAAAUGGCCGCAGUAUUUUGACUGUGCAAAGGUAGCAUAAUCAUUAGUUUUUUAAUUAAAAGCUUGUAUGAAAGGCUGGACGAGGUAAAAUCUGUCUCUAUUUAAAUUAUAGUAGAAUUUAACUUUUAAGUUAAAAGGCUUAAAUAUUAUUAAAAGACGAGAAGACCCUAUAGAUCUUUAUAACUUGUUAAAUAAAAUUAAUUUAGAAUUAUUUAUAUUUUAUUUAAUAAAAUUAUUUUAUUGGGGUAAUAAAAAGAUUGAAUUAAUUCUUUUUUAUAAUAAACAUUAAUUUAUGAAUAUUUAAUGAUCCAGUUUUACUGAUUAUAAGAUUAAGUUACCUUAGGGAUAACAGCGUAAUUUUUUUAGAGAGUUCAUAUCGAUAAAAAAGUUUGCGACCUCGAUGUUGGAUUAAAGAUUAUUUUAGGUGUAGAAGCUUAGAAAUUUUGGUCUGUUCGACCAUUAAAUCUUUAC
rnacentral:rRNA from 1 species